rnacentral:rRNA from 1 species
CCUACGGGUGGCUGCAGUGGGGAAUUUUGCGCAAUGGGCGAAAGCCUGACGCAGCAACGCCGCGUGGGUGAUGAAGGUCUUCGGAUCGUAAAACCCUGUCGUCAGGGACGAAGGUUGCAUGUCGAAUAGAUGUGCAGCUUGACGGUACCUGGAGAGGAAGCCCCGGCUAACUCUGUGCCAGCAGCCGCGGUAAUACAGAGGGGGCAAGCGUUACUCGGAGGUAGCGGGCGUAAAGGGCGCGUAGGGAGGGUAAAUCCCCGAGCUUAACGUGGGAACUGCAUCUCAGACUGUGUCGCUAGAGUACUGGAGAGGGUGGUAGAAUUCCACGUGUAGCGGUGAAAUGCGUAGAGAUGUGGAGGAAUACCAGUGGCGAAGGCGGCCACCUGGACAGUAACUGACGCUGAGGCGCGAAAGUGUGGGGAGCAAACAGGAUUAGAUACCCCAGUAGUC